rnacentral:rRNA from 1 species
GUGGCGGACGGGUGAGUAAUGUCUGGGGAUCUGCCCGAUAGAGGGGGAUAACCACUGGAAACGGUGGCUAAUACCGCAUAACGUCGCAAGACCAAAGAGGGGGACCUUCGGGCCUCUCACUAUCGGAUGAACCCAGAUGGGAUUAGCUAGUAGGCGGGGUAAUGGCCCACCUAGGCGACGAUCCCUAGCUGGUYUGAGAGGAUGACCAGCCACACUGGAACUGAGACACGGUCCAGACUCCUACGGGAGGCAGCAGUGGGGAAUAUUGCACAAUGGGCGCAAGCCUGAUGCAGCCMUGCCGCGUGUAUGAAGAAGGCYUUCGGGUUGUAAAGUACUUUCAGCGGGGAGGAA